rnacentral:lncRNA from 7 species
GCAAGCGCGAUCCGUUUCAAUUCAAAAUUCUAGCUUACCUGUGAUCAAGAAGGCCUAUCAGCUGGAGAGUUCCCGGUGAUCGUGACCGCCAGCUCCUGCGACGUUCUCCUGACGGCGGCGGCGGCGGCGGCGGAUGAUUGUUGGCUGGUGCCCCCAGCUAGAUUAUUAGCAGCUCCGUUGGGGGCGUCGAGAAUGGACGGGGAAUUCAACGCGAGAGGCAUCAGCAGGAACCAGCGUUGUCACCGGCCGGUCUCCAUGCACGAGUGGAAGCUCAGAGCGCUAUCGGCAUAUCAGGCGCAUGUCGAGCUUGCCAAAUUUAGGACGACAUCGAUCCUAUUUCUCGGCCGGGCAUUGUGCAUACGUGGAGAGCUCAGCUUAGCAGGAUGCU